rnacentral:lncRNA from 1 species
CUCGACAUAACAACAAUAUGGUAAGAUGGUAAAUGAAAAUAUGAUAUGAAUGUCUCGGUGAUGAUUAUACAAACGAUGUUGUAUUAAUUUUGUGAACAAUGAUCAUGAAUGAGUAAUUUAGCCUUGACAGAUUUGAGUUACUACAGUAGUGUAACUUUGAAAAUACACUAAAAAUAGUGGAAAAUGAGUUAGAGGCAGAAUAAAAUAUGGGAUUAAAGCUCAAUGAGUCUAUUUUCACAUGAAAGAAACAGAGAAGAAAAAGAAUUCCAUAUUGUGUGAUAUUUGAAUUCUUGUGAAACAGGGUCUGAAUGAAUUCGAGAUCCCCUAUUCUAACUUUAUAAAUUCACCAAAAAUUGUACAAAAAUUAUUAAGAGUUAUACCUUACAUGCAUAGAUUCAUUAUUGAGUCUAUUUUUAUGGGAAAUAAAC